rnacentral:rRNA from 1 species
UACGGAGGGUGCAAGCGUUGUUCGGAAUCACUGGGCGUAAAGGGCGUGUAGGCGGCCCGCUAAGUCUGAUGUGAAAUCCCCUCGCUCAACGAGGGAACUGCGUCGGAAACUGGCGGACUCGAGUACCGGAGAGGAAGGUGGAAUUCCCGGUGUAGCGGUGAAAUGCGUAGAUAUCUGGAGGAACACCGGUGGCGAAGGCGGCAUCCUGGACCAACACUGACACUGAGGAGCGAAAGCCAGGGGAGCAAACGGG